UCGGAUUGUAAACUCCUGUCGUUAGGGACGAUAAUGACGGUACCUAACAAGAAAGCACCGGCUAACUACGUGCCAGCAGCCGCGGCAAAACGUAGGGUGCAAGCGUUGUCCGGAAUUACUGGGUGUAAAGGGAGCGCAGGCGGGAAGACAAGUUGGAAGUGAAAACCAUGGGCUCAACCCAUGAAUUGCUUUCAAAACUGUUUUUCUUGAGUAGUGCAGAGGUAGAUGGAAUUCCCGGUGUAGCGGUGGAAUGCGUAGAUAUCGGGAGGAACACCAGUGGCGAAGGCGGUCUACUGGGCACCAACUGACGCUGAGGCUCGAAAGCAUGGGUAGCAAACAGGAUUAGAUACCCUGGUAGUCCAUGCCGUAAACGAUGAUUACUAGGUGUUGGGGGAUCGACCCCCUCAGUGCCGCAGUUAACACAAUAAGUAAUCCACCUGGGGAGUAAGACCGCAAGGUUGCAACUCAAAUGAAUUGACGGUUUA
rnacentral:rRNA from 1 species